rnacentral:rRNA from 1 species
GAUGAACGCUGGCGGCGUGCCUAAUACAUGCAAGUCGAGCGAACAGACGAGGAGCUUGCUCCGUUGACGUGAGCGGCGGACGGGUGAGUAACACGUAGGUAACCUACCUAUAAGACUGGGAUAACUUCGGGAAACCGGAGCUAAUACCGGAGAAUAUUUCGAACCGCAUGGGUCGAUAGUGAAAGAUGGCUUUGCUAUCACUUAUAGAUGGACCUGCGCCGUAUUAGCUAGUUGGUAAGGUAACGGCUUACCAAGGCAACGAUACGUAGCCGACCUGAGAGGGUGAUCGGCCACCCUGGAACUGAGACACGGUCCAGACUCCUACGGGAGGCAGCAGUAGGGAAUCUUCCGCAAUGGGCGAAAGCCUGACGGAGCAACGCCGCGUGAGUGAUGAAGGUCUUCGGAUCGUAAAACUCUGUUAUUAGGGAAGAACAAACGUGUACGUAACUGUGCACGUCUUGACGGUACCUAAUCAGAAAGCCACGGCUAACUACGUG